AGGACAUGCUCCAGAGUCAGAAGACAGGGAAAGGAGAAACAGGAAUCCUGGUGGAGUCUAAAGAUUGUCCUGUGAAGUGUGAUGGGACAGCCUCUUUUCAGCUUCCCUGGAAAUGGAGACAGAGAGGAUCAGUGGGUCUUGCCAAGGUCACAGGACUGGAAUACAGAGCCAUGCUGCUCCAGGACACUCAAGAUCAUCAGAAGGGGAAGAGCCAAGCAGAAAGGGAAGACACAGUAGCCACUGUCCUGAGGCUGCAGCAGUCAGGGACCAGGAUGGAGGAAGAGAACUGGGACAGAGGGCACGGUGCAGGCUCCACUCGCAUUCCUGCCCCUCUGGGACUUGGCAGGGGACCUGGGGAAAAAUGCCCCAACCCAUCCUGUGGGAGCCUUUGCCUUUGACCUAUUGGCCACCAUUUCUGCCCUUGUCACAUCAUGUGCCUCGUCCGGUCCAGGGUCCUCUGACCAGGCCUCCAGCAAACAGAAGCUCUUCGCCAUCCACACUUGCACCCCAGAGGACUAAGGGCUGUAUGCUGGGAGGUUGCCAAAGCAAGGGGCUCCAGCCUUCUAGGAGUUAACGACUCCUUCUCCCCAGCUGUCCUCCCUUUGGUGCUCCUCUUCCUCCCUCCUCCUGCUCGCAGCAGGCAGAGCCUGGACCUGGGAGCCAUGCCGCUGUGCUGUUGCCAGGGGAGCCGGGAGCCAGAUUUGAGCUAUGCAGGGAAAAGGCCCAGCCUGUCAAAGUGUCUGAGAUGAACCGCCGCCAUCCCCAUGCAGCUGGGCUCAGACGUGUCUCAGCUCUUGUUCUGUGCCUGAGAAUGGCGAAGCCCAGUAAGGUUCAAGGGCAAACUCACUAUUCAUUAGUCAGGGGUUCUUGACGUCCUGUCUCUCCCAGGGGUGGGUCCCCCCUCCCUUUUCCUCUCCCUUCUGUGAUACAUUCCUGGGUGCCUUUGGUGAGGACUGCAUACCUUCCUCCUCCUGCCCAGUUCCUCUCCAAAGGCCCCUGAAUAAACUGCCCCCAAGGAGACCAGGCAGGGCAGAGACAAUGGCCACAGGAAACCAUUCAGGCAGGACUCCACUCAUGCUGGCCUGCCCUCCACUCCCAGCACCGCUGCAGGCCCCACUCCCCUCCAACUCAGGGCACCUCUGGGCUAUUAUCCUACGCAGGCCUAGACAAGAGGAAGCCACUGGGCACUGCCCUUGGGACAACAGGCUGGUUCAAUGCCGUUCUCGGUGGGCUCCUUGGAUGCCUGCGUGGCCUGUAUCUCACACAGCUGGCUGUCUUAGUGCCUUUCCCUAUCAUCGUGUGUCUAUUUUAAGACACUCUCAAACACUCUUGGUUGGAAAGUGUGAAUUAUACAGUAUUUUUUGAAGUGUGGCAGUAUCAAAAUGUAAAAGGCACAUAUACUUGGAUACAAACAAAUUGCACUGCUAGGCAUUUACUCUAUGGUUAAUAUGUGGUUCCCAAAGAAAGAUGUAUAAGAAUGUUCAUCAGAGCAUUUCUUUUUAAGAAUGUAGAGAAAUGGAAAUGAACCUAUGGUCCAUUCAUACUGUGAAAUAAUACACACCUACAAAAAUUAAUGUGGUAGGUCUCUCUAUAUUAGCUGAUGUGGAAGGUUGGCCAGUAUAUAUUGUAGGGUGAAUAGAAUAAAUCGAGAACAGGCAAUAGAGUAUGAUCUUAUUUGUGUGUAUUUAAAAGUCAUAAGUAUGCUUAUAUAUGGAGAGAUUCUGGAAGUAUGUAUUAGAAGGCUGCCCCUGGGGAGUGAGGAGGGAUGGAUGCACUCUUCCAUUUUCUUUCCAUGCUCGUGGAAUACUUUUAUUCAGAAAUUUAAAAAGGCUAUUUUAUAUAGUAGGCUUAACUUCUGUUAACCAGUUUAGAGUAGAAGCUCCAAGAGGAUGGUGGUGAUGUUGCAAGAAAAAACAUCCCCCAAACUCUGCCUUUGGCCAUUUUCAGGCCUAACAGUCAUAUAUCAUCAUCGUCAUGGUUGUUGUUAUUGUUAAUUAAAAGCCUACUGUGUCCCAGUCUUAGUACCUUUGGGUCUGGCUUACAUGUAUGCCAUGAUUCCAGUUUCACAAUUCUGAAGAGCAGUUAAUUAGCUUGUCCAAGCUCCUUAGCAAGGAGGAGGUUGGAGGCUCCCAGUUUCACUGAGAGUAGACACAUUACCCCUCUAUCUUCAGGAGCAGCCUGUUUGAGGGGGCCCUUGGAAGGCCCAGCCAGGCUCCCCCACUCCCCCACUCCAGGUCAUGCCGCCCCCAUCUGCCUAAAUAAAGGUGUCAUUAUGCUGGGGGCUAGUGGGCCAGCAGGAGGAGUGGACAGGGCUGUGAAAGGCCCUAUUUGCAAAAGCAGCAUGUGGCCUGAGAGAGAUCUCAACACAGAAUGUGAAAUGCUUUUCCUUCCCUGUUUGCUUCACCCCAGAAAAAAGUGAAUAGCCCAGCAAGUGUCUCUGAGAGAGUGACAAUACAUGAGGCCCUUGGAGUGGGAGUCAUGUGUCCAGCUACACACAUGGCAGGCCUGGACCUAGCCACAGCCACCAGCAGAGCUCCACUGGGCUCCCAAUGAGAGAAGGAGGCACCAUGGACCUGGAUUGAGCAGCCACCCAGAGGGCCCUAGGAAAUCUGUAUGUGGGAGUGUCCCUGGGGCCUGGGCGGCUCCUACAGUCACCCCAAAUCAGCUGUGGGGUCUGCAGAGAGAGCAGGAAAGAAGAAUUUAAAAUGGAGCACACGUGGAGGUCUGAAGUGACUCCUCAUAACUUUAUGGGCUGUUCGUAUUAUUGUUACACUCAUUUUAGAGAUAGGGACAGUGAGGCCCAGAAAAGUCAAGUUGUAAGUCCCAAGCUAGUAAGUGCAAGAACUGAGAUUGAACACCAAGUCUCUUGGACUCUAAAGUCUGUUACUCCAAACCCCAAAGAGAUCCUGUUUUGGCUUGGCCACUUGGCCACUCCCAAAAAGGGAGGUCCCCAAAGCUGCAACCCAUCUUUGCCAACCCCAUUCAUAGAGACAUUAACCCUUCCUCUAAGGUCACCUCCUCAAAUGGUCCUUUGCCUGGGGUCCUCCCACAGUUUUACCUAAUGUCAUCUGUCUCCUGCAGUGUGCCCGGCCCUGGACUGAGCAGUGGUGUGGUAGGGAGGAGGAUUCUAUAGCCUUUGUUUGGUUAGUAUAGCCUCUCCUCCGGAGUUGUCCAGGGGCAGUCAGGUUGUCCAGAUGGACUUCCUGGGGGUGGUGGCCUAGAGGCAAGGAUAUAGCCGGCUGGUUAAGACAAGCCUAAGUGAGCAUUGGGGUGGUGAGGACAGGCUCCUGGGAAGGCCUAAGGUCUCCACCUAGUGGGAAACGGAAUGUGGGGGUAGGUGGUAUCAGAGGGUCUAAAUGCCACAGCCUCCCAGUCCCCUGGCUGCAGGUCACCUGAACUUCUGCAGACUCUGCCCCUGUGCUUCCCAGAGGCUGGCCUGAUGGGGACCUCAGGGAAGGCUGAAGCUGCAGAAGCAGAGGUGGGAGAGCAGAGAUCUCGCUCAGGCAGCUGGAAUCACUGGGACUUUUCCAAGGCCAGUGGGUCCCUCUGGAUUGUCCCGAGGGAGGACUAGAGCAAGUUCUGAAAGAGAAAGGCCUCUUCCUAUCCUGUGAACCCCACCUCUCUCUUCCCUGCCCACAACAAAUAAAGUUUAUUUGCAAGGCC